GACGAACGCUGGCGGCGUGCUUAACACAUGCAAGUCGAACGGAAAGGCCCUGCUUUUGUGGGGUGCUCGAGUGGCGAACGGGUGAGUAACACGUGAGUAACCUGCCCUUGACUUUGGGAUAACUUCAGGAAACUGGGGCUAAUACCGGAUAGGAGCUCCUGCUGCAUGGUGGGGGUUGGAAAGUUUCGGCGGUUGGGGAUGGACUCGCGGCUUAUCAGUUUGUUGGUGGGGUAGUGGCUUACCAAGGCUUUGACGGGUAGCCGGCCUGAGAGGGUGACCGGCCACAUUGGGUCUGAGAUACGGCCCAGACUCCUACGGGAGGCGGCAGUGGGGAAUAGUGCACAAUGGGCGGAAGCCUGAUGCAGCAACGCCGCGUGCGGGAUGACGGCCUUCGGGUUGUAAACCGCUUUCGCCUGUGACGAAGCGUGAGUGACGGUAAUGGGUAAAGAAGCACCGGCUAACUACGUG
rnacentral:rRNA from 1 species